GACCCCAAAGAUGGCGAACUAUGCCUGAGGAGGGCGAAGCCAGAGGACACUCUGGUGGAGGUCCAUUGCGGUCCUGUCCUGCAAAUCCAUCGUCCGACCUGGGUAUAGGGGUGAAAGACUAAUUGAGCCAUCUACUAGCUGG
rfam:Macaca mulatta chromosome 8, whole genome shotgun sequence.